AAAGUUAAUAGAGCAUGAAUUUAAUUUUUUACUUAUAAAAUGAUCAAAAAGUUAUAUGUAUUACAUCUAAAGGAGAAAAAAUAUGGCUCAAUUAAUAAUUUUUGUUUAUGCUUUGAUGGUUUUUCUUUCUAUCUUUCUUGUUGAAUCAUAUAAAACUAAAACUCCUUGUAAGAGUCUCAAUGAUUGUCCAAAAGCGAUAAAACCUAUAUUUGUGAAGUGUUUGGGUAAUAUUUGUCAAUAUUCUAUUGGGAGGAUUUAGUAAAAGUAUAAUAUUGGGAGGAUUUAUGUCAUAGUAUUUCUACUUUUAUUAUUCAAUUCAUAAUUUAAUUUAUGUUUCUUUAGGUUUUCAAUUUAACUAGGCAAAUACGCAUGCUAUUGCACACAUUUGCCAUGUUAAGUGAUGGUAAACUAUGAAAUAAAUAAUAUAUUUGAUUAAUUAAAGAAGAGUAGUGAUAUUUGAACACCUCUUUUGGGACAACCUUGUUGUGUUCUCUUUUUAUUGGUCAAAAACAAUAUAGAGAGAAAAAAGAAGAGAGAGAAUAAGAAGAUAAUGUGAGUAUGAGAGAUAAGGUUGUAUAAAAGUUGUACAAAAAUGGUUGUACAAAUAUCAUUUCUCAUUAAAGAAACAUAACUUAAGGAUUAUCUGAUGCAAUUGAAA